rnacentral:misc_RNA from 1 species
UCCGGUUUGUCACCGGCGGUCUCCUUAGAGUUCCCAACUUAAUGAUGGCAACUAAGGACAAGGGUUGCGCUCGUUGCGGGACUUAACCCAACAUUUCACAACACGAGCUGACGACAGCCAUGCACCACCUGUGUAGCACCCUCGAAGGCGACACCGUUUCGGGUGCUUGCAGCUACAUGUCAAGCCCUGGUAAGGUUCUUCGCGUUGCAUCGAAUUAAGCCACAUGCUCCACCGCUUGUGCGGGCCCCCGCCAAUUCCUUUGAGUUUCAACCUUGCGGCCGUAGUCCCCAGGCGGUUCACUUAAUGCGUUAGCUGCGGCACCGAGGGUGAUCCCCCAACACCUAGUGAACAUCGUUUAUGGCUAAGACUAC